CCUGGUUGUACCUACAAGCCCUGUUGUAGCCUGCGUUCCUACUGUCCACUAAACCUCCUGUUUUACUGGCUGGCUGAGAGUCCCGGUGAAUCGCAGGAAGAGGGGUGCAGGGCCCUGACUCCCCCACACUCCUGGCACACCCAUCGCGGGUGGGCCAGGCAGGGCGUGGGGGGUCAGGCUGCAUGGUGUGACCUGCUGCCUUCCCCGCAGCCUUCUGGGCCCUGAAAGAGCCGAAUACUUCCUGAGCCCGCCAGCCCCGGAGCGGUGCAGGACCCCCGGGGAGCAGGGCCUGCUGGAGGCAGUGGGAGGGGCCGGCGCUGAGGAGCUCUGGCGAGUCCUGCACGAGGAGCCGCAGCGCCGGCGGCAGGCGGCAGAGGCCAGGAUGGGGCGGGCAGUCGCCGAGCAGGUGCCCUGGCUGGGACGCGCUGCUCUCACGCCCAGGAUGCAGCGGGUGGCACGGUGGAGGCGGCAGCUGCAUGUGAUGCACCGGCUGGGGGAGCUGCACCAGGACGCAAACAGCCUGCUGCUGGCCAGGGAGCCGC